GAGCACUGGAAAGUGACUCAGCGGACUUUCCCUUGUCCAACUGGGCAUCGACCAGUGCAAAAGCAAAUCCCUCCAUAAGCUGGGAGAGUCACACUGUGGACUGCUCCUGCAUGCAGGUGGGUACAUUC
ensembl:snoRNA SNORA35 small nucleolar RNA, H/ACA box 35